rnacentral:rRNA from 1 species
UACAGAGGCCCCAAGCAUUAUCCGGAAUCACUGGGCGUAAAGGGUGUGCAGGCGGUCGUGUUAGUCCUUCGUGAAAGCUCUCGGACUCAAUCCGGGAAACGCGGUGGAAACGGCACGACUUAGAGGACGCGAGAGGUACAGGGAACUCACGGUGUAGGGGUGAAAUCCGUUGAUAUCAUGGGGAACACCAAAUGCGAAGGCACUGUACUGGCGCGCUCCUGACGCUCAGACACGAAAGCGUGGGAAUCGAAUGGG